AAGAGACGAGCAUAGGUUCCUCCCAAGAUGCCACCCGCUUCAUUCAAGUGUCUGGCAGCACUGUGUUCCUGUUAGAGCCACCAGCACAAGCACCAGACGAUGCUGAUCCAGGUGAAGGCCCCAGUGCAGCAGCAACAGCACAUGAUGGAGACGAUGAUGAGGAGACCAUCUCUCUGGAUUCCAGAAGGCAUGAGGACCCAGAUGCUAUACAGUGGGAAAACCAGCCUGGCAACAUAGUGCGUAUUAAUAAAAGGACACCACAUCCUGCCAAAUUCCAGCUGCGCUAAUUGUAUUGUGUUCACAGAGCUCACAAGCUAUCAGAAAGUUGUAUGGCAACCACCUCCGGCGCCAAAUAGAAAUGGCAGACAUAGACAUUCAGUACAAGAAGAAAAAAGAUGGAAAAUCUUGCACUGGAGUUCGAAAUAAAAAAGAGGACAAUUAGGAAACUGGACCUUGAAAUAAAAAAACUUGAGAGGGAGGUGAGAUAUGCCUUCAAUGUACACUG
ensembl:lncRNA